CAGUCGCCGCGGUAAUACGGAGGGUGCAAGCGUUAAUCGGAAUUACUGGGCGUAAAGCGCACGCAGGCGGUCUGACAAGUCAGAUGUGAAAUCCCCGGGCUUAACCUGGGAACUGCAUUUGAAACUGUCAGGCUGGAGUCUUGUAGAGGGGGGUGGAAUUCCAGGUGUAGCGGUGAAAUGCGUAGAGAUCUGGAGGAAUACCGGUGGCGAAGGCGGCCCCCUGGACAAAGACUGACGCUCAGGUGCGAAAGCGUGGGGAGCAAACAGGAUUAGAUACCCCCGUAGUCCUGUCUCUUAUACA
rnacentral:rRNA from 1 species